rnacentral:rRNA from 1 species
GAUGAACGCUGGCGGCGUGCCUAAUACAUGCAAGUCGAGCGAACGGACGAGAAGCUUGCUUUUCUGAUGUUAGCGGCGGACGGGUGAGUAACACGUGGAUAACCUACCUAUAAGACUGGGAUAACUUCGGGAAACCGGAGCUAAUACCGGAUAAUAUUUUGAACCGCAUGGUUCAAAAGUGAAAGACGGUCUUGCUGUCACUUAUAGAUGGAUCCGCGCUGCAUUAGCUAGUUGGUAAGGUAACGGCUUACCAAGGCAACGAUGCAUAGCCGACCUGAGAGGGUGAUCGGCCACACUGGAACUGAGACACGGUCCAGACUCCUACGGGAGGCAGCAGUAGGGAAUCUUCCGCAAUGGGCGAAAGCCUGACGGAGCAACGCCGCGUGAGUGAUGAAGGUCUUCGGAUCGUAAAACUCUGUUAUUAGGGAAGAACAUAUGUGUAAGUAACGGUGCACAUCUUGACGGUACCGAAUCAGAAAGCCACGGCUAACUACGU